GUGUAUGUUAAGAUUUAUUUUUUUUUCAAAUUUUGCAAUCUAUCUUUCAAGAUCCCAAAAGAAAAAAACAACAAAUUUAUUGCACCUAAGUUUUUAGUGCUACAAAAAAAAAUUGAAGUUAAGUAUAUGCUUGAAGAAAAUUCUUGGAGUGAGGAUUGUAGAUCCAAAAAGGACAAAACAAUAAAUUUCUUGUACCCACUUUUUCCUUUAAUUUGUUUCUCUUUCCCAUUCAAUUUAUCUCUCUUUUUUAUAUGAAGAACAUAUGAAGAACAUGAAGAACAUUUUUCCACACUCAAAUUCAAUCAAUCGUAUACUUAGAGGUUACCAAUUUGGACUGUGGGGUUUUUGUCUUUGCCUAUGCGAAAAUAUUAAGUGGAAGGCACCAACUUCAUUCACGUGGGUUUGAUGUCGUAAGUCAACGUGCACGACAUUCUUCAUUACUGUGGCAUGACGGAGUCGAAAAGGCAAAACAAGGGUACACAAGUGAUAAAGGCGGUCCGUCUCGGCCUAGGAAUACUGUUCUAGAUGUAAUUGAUACAAGUGAAAUUGUUACUUUAGAGUAGCAUUGUUUUUAAAAUAGUCAGCAUUGAAAAAACUAAUUCUUCA